rnacentral:lncRNA from 1 species
GAUUGCUAAUUUGUCAGACAGAAGAUGAGAAAAAGAAAGGUAAACCCAGAACACGAGGCACUGGAGUGGACCAGGAAAGAUAGAGAUCCAGAGGGGUUCAUGGUUCAGGAUUAUGGUUACCAAAUUGAUGAGAAAAGUGUCAUGGCUGAGAGUGUUGACGGAUCUGAGAAUGAAUACAUUGCUGAGAAAAUUGACAUAGCUGAAAAUGUUGCCAUAGAUAAGAAAAGUAGCAUACUUGUGAAUGUUGACACAGUCGAAAAUGAAUAUGUUGCUGAAAGAAUAGACUUAGAUUUGAAAAGUGACAUAGCAAAGAAUUGUGACGUAGCUGGGAAUGGUGACACAGCUAACAAUAAUAAGAAUGAAAAUGGUGACAUAAGUAAAAAAAAAAAACAUGACGUAGCUGGAAAUGAAUAUGCUGCUGAGAAUAUUGACAAAGCUGAUAAUUGAGACAUAGCUGAGAAUGUUGACAUAGAUGACAAUGUUGACGUAGCUGACAUUGAUGACACAGCUGACAAUAAUGAAUAUGAAAAUGGUGACAUAGCCAAGAAUGGUGACGAAGCUCAGAAAGGUGACAUAUCUGACAAAGACAAAACAGACAUUGUACUUAAAAGUGGUGUCAGUGAUUAGUCGGAUAAACCAGAAGAUUACCGUUGAUAACUGGACAAAAAGAUCGUUGCUGGCAGUUUCAUACAGACAAUCAGGUGGUGAGGAGAUAGAUGGCUCUAAUGGUUAUUCAGACUGAGACUGAGACUGGGGAAUGAGCCUGAAACAGAUACAGAUACAGAACAUUUGCCACCAGUAAAACGAAAAAAGAGGAGGACCGAUGAAGAAAAACAUAGAUUUAAAUGCCUUUUCAGAAAGUACGUUCAUGAUAAAAUGUUUCCUCCUGGGAAAGUAACUUAAAUGGCAACUAAACAACUUCAAAGUAGAGAGUUUUUCAAAUCAGAGCAAGGAUUCAUCAAAAAUAUUUCAGGAAAACAGGUCUUUGAUUGAAAAGUGUCAUGGAAAUUUUGGAUGUUAAAAGCAUGUCUGCUGUUUGUUCCUUGGUAAAAGUUUAAAUGUAUUUUAGCUGUCUGGAAUGUUGAUUAUAAAUGUAAACAUAUAUAUUUUUGGCAGAUUUCCUGUUAGUAAGAGGGGCAUU